UACGAAGGGGGCUAGCGUUGCUCGGAAUUACUGGGCGUAAAGGGCGCGUAGGCGGAUAUUUAAGUUAGAGGUGAAAGCCCAGGGCUCAACCCUGGAAUAGCCUUUAAUACUGGAUAUCUUGAGUUCGGGAGAGGUGAGUGGAACUCCGAGUGUAGAGGUGAAAAUUCGUAGAUAUUCGGAAAGAACACCAGUGGCGAAGGCGACUCACUGGCCCGAUACU
rnacentral:rRNA from 1 species